AAAGGGCCUUGCUAUAUUUUAAGGGACAAUCUCAAAGUUCAUCUGUUGAUAACUAGAAACAUACAACACUAGACAUAAAAUUAUCUUCUGUAUAUCAACAAAAUUAAUUUCAGUAACCAUUUCGUGAUGAUCUAAACUACCUACCUUAUAUCUUUGAAUGGGGGUAGAGCAGGAAGACGAACUAGUAGAGUAGAACCAUUGACACAGAUUAGAUCCUCCCUAUCGAGUAAAAAAUGAUACAUCUCCCCAGCAACCAUCAAAGAAGGAUAUUUAGAGAAGUACACAAGUGCAUCUACAAGAUUACAUCAUCAGCUGUACAAAAUGGUAACCAUCAUCCUACAGCUACUCACGCUGCAAAUAACCUGCACGUUAUACGGGUCAAAUGUAGGGACAUUAUGCUUCUACUGCUGCUCCAUCUUCAACUUCAGGAUCUGAAUCUGAAUCGGCAUCUGCUGCUGAGAUCAAUGAGGCUGACUGAAUUUUCCCAGCAUGCUCAAGACGCAUCAGAAUUACUCCUCUCGCAUACCGGGACUGGAUAGAGAUGUCCCGAACUUUUAUGCGAUUCACCGUUCCACUCUGGCUCACAAGAACAACUUGCUCAUCACUCUCACCAUCUUCUCCAAAGGAGAAUCCAACUACGAAUACUGCUGCCAGGCGAUCUUCAGAUGAAAACUUGUAACCAAUUAAACCGACUCUAUUCAAAGGUGAUGUGCGGAAUCUGCUAACUGGAACUCGCUUCCCAUAACCGCUUUCUGACACGAAUAGCAGCCAUGGGCCAUUCAUGCUCCUUUUAUUUCUUUGAUGAACUGCCAAGGUCACGUCCAGUUCCUUCUGCAAAGCAUCUGGUAUAAUGUCCAUGCUAGCCACUUUAUCCCCAUCUUUUAGUCUCAUGGCAACAGAGCCUCUAGUAUUUCUACCAAGUGCUCUUAUAUUUGCGCAAGGCGUCAAAAUCACCAUUCCAUUUAGUGAAGCCAUUGCAACAAAAUCAUUAUUUGAGCAACAUUUCACCCAUUUUAAUUCAUCACCUGGGACCAAUUGAAUCGCAAUUAUUCCUGUAGACCUAAUAGAGGCAAAAUAGUUCAAUGAUACUUUUUUGAUAUAUCCAUUCACAGUAAGCAUCACAAGAUACUGAUCUCCCGCAAAAUCGCUAACAGGAAUAAUUGAAGUUAUUCUCUCGCCAUCAGACAAGGAUAAUAUCUGAAUUAAAGGAGUGCCAGCUGCAGUUCGGCUGCAUUCAGGAAUCUUGUAAGCUGGAGAAGAGUACACGGUACCUUUAUCGCUAAAAUAGAGAACUUUGUCAUGGGCCCGGCAAACAAGGAAAUCAGACAUCGCAUCAUUUACUCUUAAUUUACCAACUGAUUUGCCAAUAGUCCCUCGAUUUUGUAGAUUAAACGUGUCAGGUUUCAUCCGUUUAACAUAUCCCUUCUCACUAAUUGCCAGUAGCAUUUCUUCAUUCGGAAUCACGUCUAUAUCUUCAAGAUCACCGCUGUCUGUAUCCUCUAACUGUGAACGCCUCGGAGUGAAAUACUUGUCCUUUAUUUCAAGUGCCUCUUCUUCAAUCA
rnacentral:misc_RNA from 1 species